GUGGGGAAUAUUGCACAAUGGGGGAAACCCUGAUGCAGCGACGCCGCGUGGAGGAAGAAGGUCUUCGGAUUGUAAACUCCUGUCCGAGGGUAAGAAGAAAGUGACGUAACCCUUGGAGGAAGCACCGGCUAACUACGUGCCAGCAGCCGCGGUAAAACGUAGGGUGCAAGCGUUGUCCGGAAUUACUGGGUGUAAAGGGAGCGCAGGCGGAGUGGCAAGUUGGGAGUGAAACGUGCGGGCUCAACCCGCAACCUGCUUUCAAAACUGCCGGUCUUGAGUGGUGUAGAGGUAGGCGGAAUUCCCGGUGUAGCGGUGGAAUGCGUAGAUAUCGGGAGGAACACCAGUGGCGAAGGCGGCCUACUGGGCACUAACUGACGCUGAGGCUCGAAAGCAUGGGUAGCAAACAGGA
rnacentral:rRNA from 1 species